GAGUGUAGGGCGGCAGGUAGCCUAGUGGUUAGAGUGUAGGGGCGGCAGGUAGCCUAGUGGUUAGAGUGUAGGGGCGGCAGGUAGCCUAGUGGUUAGAGUGUAGGGGCGGCAGGUAACCUAGUGGUUAGAGUGUAGGGGCGGCAGGUAGCCUAGUGGUUAGAGUGUAGGGGCGGCAGGAAGCCUAGUGGUUAGAGUGUAGGGGCGGCAGGUAGCCUAGUGGUUAGAGUGUAGGGGCGGCAGGUAGCCUAGUGGUUAGAGUGUAGGGGCGGCAGGUAGCCUAGUGGUUAGAGUGUAGGGGCGGCAGGUAGCCUAGUGGUUAGAGUGUAGGGGCGGCAGGUAGCCUAGUGGUUAGAGUGUAGGGGCGGCAGGUAGCCUAGUGGUUAGAGUGUAGGGGCGGCAGGUAGGCUAGUGGUUAGAGUGUAGGGGCGGCAGGUAGCCUAGUGGUUAGAGUGUAGGGGCGGCAGGUAGCCUAGUGGUUAGAGUGUAGGGGCGGCAGGUAGCCGAGUGGUUAGAGUGUAGGGGCGGCAGGUAGCCGAGUGGUUAGAGUGUAGGGGCGGCAGGUAGCCUAGUGGUUAGAGUGUAGGGGCGGCAGGUAGCCUAGUGGUUAGAGUGUAGGGGCGGCAGGUAGCCUAGUGGUUAGAGUGUAGGGGCGGCAGGUAGCCUAGUGGUUAGAGUGUAGGGGCGGCAGGUAGCCUAGUGGUUAGAGUGUAGGGGCGGCAGGUAGCCUAGUGGUUAGAGUGUAGGGGCGGCAGGUAGCCUAGUGGUUAGAGUGUAGGGGCGGCAGGUAGCCUAGUGGUUAGAGUGUAGGGGCGGCAGGUAGCCUAGUGGUUAGAGUGUAGGGGCGGCAGGUAGCCUAGUGGUUAGUGUGUAGGGGCGGCAGGUA